AACGAACGCUGGCGGCAUGCCUAACACAUGCAAGUCGAACGAGACCUUCGGGUCUAGUGGCGCACGGGUGCGUAACGCGUGGGAACCUGCCCUUAGGUUCGGAAUAACUCCCCGAAAGGGGUGCUAAUACCGGAUAAUGUCUUCGGACCAAAGAUUUAUCGCCUUUGGAUGGGCCCGCGUUGGAUUAGCUAGUUGGUAGGGUAAAAGCCUACCAAGGCGACGAUCCAUAGCUGGUCUGAGAGGAUGAUCAGCCACACUGGGACUGAGACACGGCCCAGACUCCUACGGGAGGCAGCAGUGGGGAAUAUUGGACAAUGGGCGAAAGCCUGAUCCAGCAAUGCCGCGUGAGUGAUGAAGGCCUUAGGGUAGUAAAGCUCUUUUACCCGGGAUGAUAAUGACAGUACCGGGAGAAUAAGCUCCGGCUAACUCCGUG
rnacentral:rRNA from 1 species